AUGCCUGUUCCUUUAGUUUCUCCAGCACAACCUAGAGAGUUUGCUGGGUGCGAAUCUUACCCCUCUAGUGUGUUGUGUUCACAGGGUCUCUACAGGGGUACUCUCGCUCAGCGUCGAGCUCUUCAGCGGGCAACCAGGCAGCACCUGCAGCUGGAUACGAGGAAUGUGGAUUCUCUGGCAAUGCAAGUUUACAGGGAGCUCAAGAAGACUGCUAUCCUGGGUGACAAGGUCCUGUCCCCAGUUGACGUGGCCAGGGUCCUGAAGGCUGAGGCCGAUGUCUCGGGCCUGCAUCCUAAUGACCUGAAGACGUGGAAGCUGAUAAAGGCCUGCACGGGAAACAUCAACAGCGUCUCUGGCGUGGUCAGUACUGCGGGUUCUGCUGGUGGAGCCAUAUGGACCCUACGUCAGUGGAACACGAGCUAUCCCAUGACUGAACUGCCUGAAGACUUCUUCUGGUAG
rnacentral:rRNA from 1 species